rnacentral:sRNA from 1 species
AAACCAGAUGGGGCUAUGAUUGUUGCGU